GUGAACCAGCGGAGGGACAUUA
rnacentral:rRNA from 1 species